rnacentral:rRNA from 1 species
CCUGCGGAAGGAUCAUUAGCGAAUGAACUUGGUCAAGCUGUUGCUGGUCUUUAGGGACAUGUGCACGCUAGGCUCUUGUUUCUAACCACCUGUGCACCUUUUGUAGACUUAGAGUUUUAAGGGGAUUUGCGUUAGCUUUUCCUGUAGGCUCUGGUCUAUGUUUUUAUUAUACCCUUUAAAAUGUAAAGAAUGUGUAGUGGGCGCAAGCCUAUAAAAAUAUAUACAACUUUCAACAACGGAUCUCUUGGCUCUCGCAUCGAUGAAGAACGCAGCGAAAUGCGAUAAGUAAUGUGAAUUGCAGAAUUCAGUGAAUCAUCGAAUCUUUGAACGCACCUUGCGCUCCUUGGUAUUCCGAGGAGCAUGCCUGUUUGAGUGUCAUGAAAUUCUCAAACCUUUCAUUAUUUUUUAAUGAGAGAGUUUGGAUGUGGAAGUUUGCGGGUCUCUAGAAAUGGAGGUCGGCUCUUCUCAAAUGCAUUAGCAAGGACCUUAUCCUUUUGUUGGCCUUGGUGUGAUAAUUAUCUAUGCCAUUGGCUUUAGGAUGUGGGGUUUGGCUUUCUAAUGAGUCUCCCUGGGGAACAAUAUUUCUGAUACCUUUGACCUCAAAUCAGGUAGGACUACCCGCUGAACUUAA